UACGGGGGGGGCAAGCGGUUGUUCGGAAUUACUGGGCGUAAAGGGUUCGUAGGUGGCCAACUAAGUCAGACGUGAAAUCCCUCAGCUUAACUGGGGAACUGCGUCUGAUACUGGUUGGCUUGAGUGCAGGAGAGGAACGCGGAAUUCCAGGUGUAGCGGUGAAAUGCGUAGAUAUCUGGAGGAAUACCGAUGGCGAAGGCAGCCCCCCUGGGCCAAUACUGACGCUCAUGCACGAAAGCGUGGGGAGCAAACAGG
rnacentral:rRNA from 1 species